UGUCAAAACUGAGCCGCGUCGAAUCUGAAUGGCUCGCUGCAAGCCAUAUUUUUAGACCAAGUUGGCCCAUUCAAAGUGACAGCUUGGUGUUACGUCUCAGUUUGAGUGGGUAGUCACUGCAGGUAUCCAAAUAAAUGUGCUUAAGCAGAGUAAAAAGUGUUAUACAUCCACUUCUGGUGCAGAAGUUUCAGAAGAGAUACCACGAAGUUUGGACAAAAAACAAAGAAUAAAAGUGUUUUUCCACUUGUGUGGGAUUUUUUUUAUCCUGAACUCCAGUCUUGAAUAACUCAGACUAAAGUGGCUAUUCUCCAUAUUAAACUCAGCAAUCUUUACAAUUUGAAACCAAACAAAUAGGUCAAAUGUGCUGAAAGUUAAAACCGCAUAAUGAACAGAGCUGUCCAAUCGGCAUGACUGACAGGAAGAAAACCGCCUGGCAACCACUUAGUGGCUCUUUGACAGGCCAGCAGCAACACUCCAGGGGGUUUUAGUAUGAGCUGCGAUUUACAAAACACAGACUGAAAUUGUGGAUGCCAAACGCGCCGCAGCCGUUUAGAGGAAGAAACGUGAAGGGAUUGCAUCUUGCAGAGCCUUUUACAUUCUAAACAAAACCCUCAAAGGGUAACAAACCCCUAAUGUGAAGAAGUAAACAUGGAUGUGAAAACAUCUUGAACUGUCCAGUUUUGUGAUAACAGUCUUCCAAAACAAAACACAGAGGUGCAAUAGUGUGGUGAGGUUAAACAUAAAACUGUCAAACGUAGUUUCAAGGGAUCAUGAACUCUUUGAAAUACCAAGAGACUUUGAUGGAUUUUAGCAGCAAAUGGAAAACAGAUUAGCAGAAUAAGGAUGCCAAACAAAAGUGGUUCACUAUGAAAUAAUAAACAUUUUUUUAAAGGUCAGACAGAGUUUAAGGCCGGUAGAAAACUUACAAGAUCAGAUUAGCAUAAUAAAGGACACAAUAUUCUAAAAAAAAAAAAAAAAAUCAAAAGAGAUUGUGAAAGUAGGAUUGAUCAAUGAUCCUAACUCGAUGCUCGAACCAGGGAGGAAACCAAAUGCUACUCUAGUGCCAAAAGAGAGCAUAAUACUGACAGCAUGGAGCGUGCUGCACAUCAAAACAGUGACUUUUAAAGAAAGUAAGUUGGACGAUUAUAUUUAUAUAAAUUUAAAAAAAAAGCUCCACCUCUGGCUGUAGUCGGAGCCACUCCGGCGCUAUGUUUAGAAACAUCACUGUAACGAGGUAAAUGCACACUGCACAGAAGAGGCAGAGCAGCGGGAUUUAAAAGAAGUGGUGGGUGGAGGGGUUCAGGAAGAGGGGGCACUGUGGGCGGGAGAGAUCCACAGAAAGAAAAAAAAAAAAAAACUGCAAUCAGUCUGAAUCCUGACAAGCUUUUUGAGAAAACUGGCUAAGCUCACAAACACAAAACAAAACAAAAAAAAGUUUGGACUUGCAGCGUUUUGUGACCAGCAUUUCCUGAGCGAGAGCUCCGGUGAAAAUCCACAGCAGCCUGAAUAAAUAAGCAGAACUCGUUUUCUAUCAUGUGUUUUUUCAGCAUUCCUGUCUUCCUCCUGCCUGUUUCUAUGCUUCUGUGUGUGUGUGUGUGUGUGUGUGUGUGCGUGUGUGCGUGUGUGUGUGUGUGUGAGCUCCAGCCAAAGGGGAGUGUGGCCUCGUUGCCAUAGGAACAUGCUUGCUAGCGUGUGCACUGCUCUCCAUCAAACUACCUUCAUUUCUGCUAAUGUAUUUAGAAGCGUCAUUACUGUGCUUGUGAAUGGAUGGAUCCAAAUGAAGUAAGUGGAGUCAAGCAGGCGUGACUCUACAGACGUACCGAGGGGACGACCAGAUACGGGAGGAGGAGGAACCUCAAAGCUACAAGCAGCAACAGAUCAACGGAGGUCUUGUUAUGAUGUUGCACAGAGAUGAGCGUUAAAAAGUGGAUAAAGAAAUGGAUAAAACAUAAAAUAAUAAACCAAACAAUAGUGCAACACAUCAAAACGUCUCUCUUUAACCCAUGAAUGUGUAAUGCAUUUAGUAAAUCAUUAGAAUUUCUUGCUGAUCUGUUUUAAAUAAAUAUUUUGUUCCAUCGUUUAACUUUUGUCUGAAACGUGAAAGGUCAAGGUGAGUUUUGCACCGCUCUCCUCCUCAACCAUCACUGUAGUACAAUAAAAUAUUGAAUGUUUUAUUAAGUAGUAAUAGUAGCUAUGCUAACAUUAGCUUGAAAAUCACAUUGUGAAACAUGGGGAGCAGAGAGAGACAGAAAGGAUGAAGUAAACACCCAGAAAAUAAAGUCUUAUUGCAAGUAAUUCAGAACGUUUUUAACGCUGUUCAUUCUUUCUGACUACAAGCAUUGUGUUGUUUGUUGUUGCCCCCUCCCCCAGGUGGCGCCACCGGCAGUAAGAUUCCUAAACUCUGGUAUGAGUUAAGAGGCUCCCGACAUCCAUCCUGCUGGAUUACAUCACCGAAAUGCAGCUCAAACAAGGUUUAUAUGCUGCGUCGACUGUCCUGGAGCCAACUGAAGACGACGUUUUAAUCCACGGAUGGGAGAAGGAAGACUUGGAGUCUAUUAAAGAGAAUGUAAAAAGGGAAUGGCACUAUCUAACCCAGAGGAUGGUAACAUAAAACAGAAGGAGUCUGACGAUGUGGGGCUCAGAGGAAACGUGACGCUCCAGUGGAGGAUACAGGGAAAAGGGUAUAUAAAAAAAAACAAACUUCAAUACACAAAGGGAGUUUUUCUGAAAAAAAAAAAAAAAAAAAAAAGACUGAAAAGUCAUGACAUGAAAAGCAGAAGUCAGACAGGCAUUAAAAACCUUUCACCACUGAAAACAGAGCAAACAGCAGCCUUGCGAAUACAUAUAAAAACACAGAUAGAGAAA